rnacentral:rRNA from 1 species
ACAUGCAAGUCGCACGAGAACGCUUCAGCUUGCUGAAGCUAGUAAAGUGGCGAACGGGUGAGUAAUACGAGGGUAAUCUACCCUUAAAUUAGGGAUAACCUUGCGAAAGCGAAGCUAAUACCUGAUAAGACUACGAUCUUCUAGGAGAUAGUAGGAAAAGAUGGCCUCUGUUUCAUGCUAUUGUUUAAGGAUGAGCCCUUGCACUAUUAGCUUGUUGGUGAGGUAAUGGCCCACCAAGGCUACGAUGGUUAGCUGGUCUGAGAGGAUGACCAGCCACACUGGAGCUGAGACACGGUCCAGACUCCUACGGGAGGCAGCAGUGAGGAAUAUUGCGCAAUGGGGGGAAACCCUGACGCAGUGACGCCGCGUGAGUGAUGAAGGCUUUCGAGUCGUAAAGCUCUGUUAGGUGGAAAGAAAUAUUCCAGUGCCAAUACCACUGGGAUUUGACGGUACCACCAGAGGAAGCACCGGCUAACUCCGUG